rnacentral:rRNA from 1 species
CCCAAGAGAUCGGGAUAACACCUGGAAACAGAUGCUAAUACCGGAUAACAACAGAUGAUGCCUAUCAACUGUUUAAAAGAUGGUUCUGCUAUCACUCUUGGAUGGACCUGCGGUGCAUUAGCUAGUUGGUAGGGUAACGGCCUACCAAGGCGAUGAUGCAUAGCCGAGUUGAGAGACUGAUCGGCCACAUUGGGACUGAGACACGGCCCAAACUCCUACAGGAGGCAGCAGGC